UACGAAGGGUGCAAGCGUUACUCGGAAUUACUGGGCGUAAAGCGUGCAUAGGUGGUUCGUUAAGUCUGAUGUGAAAGCCCUGGGCUCAACCUGGGAACUGCAUUGGAUACUGGCGAUCUGGAGUGCGGUAGAGGGUGGCGGAAUUCCCGGUGUAGCAGUGAAAUGCGUAGAUAUCGGGAGGAACAUCCGUGGCGAAGGCGGCCACCUGGACCAGCACUGACACUGAGGCACGAAAGCGUGGGGAGCAAACAGG
rnacentral:rRNA from 1 species